UACGGAAGGCAGCAGUGGGGAAUAUUGCACAAUGGGCGCAAGCCUGAUGCAGCCAUGCCGCGUGUAUGAAGAAGGGCCUUCGGGUUGUAAAGUACUUUCAGUCGUGAGGAAGGUGUUAAGGUUAAUAACCUUAGCAAUUGACGUUAGCGACAGAAGAAGCACCGGCUAACUCCGUGCCAGCAGCCGCGGUAAUACGGAGGGUGCGAGCGUUAAUCGGAAUUACUGGGCUAAAGGGCACGCAGGCGGUUAAUUAAGUUGGAUGUGAAAUCCCCGGGCUUAACCUGGGAAUGGCAUUCAAGACUGGUUAGCUAGAGUCUUGUAGAGGGGGUAGAAUUCCAUGUGUAGCGGUGAAAUGCGUAGAGAUGUGGAGGAAUACCGGGUGGCGAAGGCGGCCCCUGGGACAAAGACUGACGCUCAUGUGCGAAAGCGUGGGGAGCAAACAGGGAUUAGAUACC
rnacentral:rRNA from 1 species